rnacentral:rRNA from 1 species
UACGUAGGGGCCUAGCGUUGUCCGGAUUUAUUGGGCGUAAAGAGCUCGUAGGCGGCUUGUCGCGUCGGCUGUGAAAUCCCGUGGCUCAACUGCGGGUCUGCAGCCGAUACGGGCAGGCUAGAGUUCGGUAGGGGAGACUGGAAUUCCUGGUGUAGCGGUGAAAUGCGCAGAUAUCAGGAGGAACACCGGUGGUGAAGGCGGGUCUCUGGGCCGAUACUGACGCUGAGGAGCGAAAGCGUGGGGAGCGAACAGG